rnacentral:tRNA from 1 species
UCCUGGUUAGCUGAGUUGGUAAAGCGCUCCACUGGAAAUGGAGAGGACUCUGGUUCGAUACCAGGACCACGGA